rnacentral:rRNA from 1 species
UACGUAGGGUGCAAGCGUUGUCCGGAAUUAUUGGGCGUAAAGAGCUCGUAGGCGGUUCGUCGCGUCGGCUGUGAAAACCUGAGGCUCAACCUCAGGCCUGCAGUCGAUACGGGCGGACUUGAGCACUGCAGGGGAGACUGGAAUUCCUGGUGUAGCGGUGAAAUGCGCAGAUAUCAGGAGGAACACCGGUGGCGAAGGCGGGUCUCUGGGCAGUAACUGACGCUGAGGAGCGAAAGCGUGGGGAGCGAACAGG